GCUGUACUUGUGGCAUAUGGAAGUUCCUGGGCCAAGGGUCAAAUCAGAGCCACAGCAAUGUCAGAUCCAAGAUGCAUCUGCAACCUACGCUGCAGCUUGUGGCCAUGUCAGAACCUUAACCCACUGAGUAAGGCCAGGAAUUGAACCUGUAUCCUUGCAGACACCAUGUGGGGUUCUUAACUCACUGAGCCACAAUGGGAACUCCAUUAUGCAAUACUUUAAUUGUCCCCCUUAAGGGGUGAAGGAAUGCCCCCCCGUCCCCCUUACUUUGGUCCCAUGUGUACUGCGGCUUUACGUAGACCAAAGCUUUCCACAGAUACAGCUCCAUCCCAGACCGACUGGACGGCCUCUCAAUUGAUGAUUCGAAGCCUCUCAAACGCGGUGCACCCAAGGCUGAAUCAGCCUUCCCGCACAACUGCUUUUUCUCUGCCUGUACCUAUAAAUAGAAUCAACUCUCAAACGGCCCCCUUCGCUACCUGCUUCCUCAACGACUUAGGGACCUUCCGCAACAGACCUCCUCCCCAGUGCCCCUGCUGCUCCUUUCUUUCACGAAUGGCUGCAGCCAAAGGGAGCGUUUGGAAUGCAUCCUUACUGUGUUUCUCCUUUGAUUAAGAGCACGCAGUAGCCUUCCUUUGUCUUUAACACAAAGCCCAAUGUUCUCAUCCUGAAGUGUGAGGUCUUGCAUGAUCUGGACUCUGCCCCAUUCUCCAUCCUUGUCUCAAGCCAUUCUCCUACUCACCAAGGAGGAGAUUUCUUUGACUUCUUCAGUUGCUGAGCAACUUCCCGACCUUUGUUCUUUACCCAUGCUCUUCUUUUCGCCUCAAACACUCCUCCCCACUCCCUAAAGUGUACAAAUCCAUCCAUCCUUCCAGGCUUAGCUUAAAUGUCCUUUUUAUCAGGGAAACCAGGGAGGAGCCUUCCCAUCUUUAUGGCACCCCGUUUUUCACUUUCGUGCCAAAAAUUUAAUUUAUCAAUUAUUUGGUUAAUUCUUUAUUUUCCUUUCUUUUACAUUUUUCAACAACUUACCCAAAGGCAGACCUUUUUUAAAUUUAUGACUAAAACUCCAUUUCUCUGCAGAAUACCUCUAACAUAAUUGGGACACAGUAAGUAUUUUUUGAAUAAGUGAAAUGGCCAACAUCAGGCGAAUAUGGUGAAUUCUGUCAAUGUAGUGUUGUGCGGUUGUAAAAAGACAUACUAAAAACUGUUGGUGUGAGAAAAUGCUCAAUAAAAAUUAUACACAUGGUACUUCAAUUCUGUAAAAGUACACAGGACAUAGACAUAGGAGGCAGAACAACAACCCCCUCCCUGAGGUCCACAUUGUAGUCCCUGGAACUUUUGACCAUGUUGUAUUACAUGAGAUGGGGCGAUUAAGACUGCUGACUAGUGGACCUUAAAAUAAGGAGAUUAUCCUGGAUGAUUUGGUUGGGCCCAACACAAUCACAAGGGUCUUUUACACACGGAAGAUGAAGCAGAAGAGUCAGAGCCAAGUAGGGUGGGAGAGAGUCCAUCAGCCACUGCUGGUUUAGAAGACAGAGGAAAACACAAGCCAAGGAAAGCGGAAAGCCUCUAGAAACUGAAAAAGGCAAGGAAAAGUCUCUCUCAAACCUCCAGAAAGAACUCCGUCUUGCCUUCUUAACUUUUAUCCCAGUGAAACCCAUCUUGGAUGUCUGAUGAUAAAAUAUUUGGGAGUUUUAAGCAAUCGGUUUAUGGGACUUUGUUAAAGAAGCAAUAGGAAACUAAUACAAUAGGAUGUAUUAGGGUAGGAGAGGUGUCCUGCUUUCUCUUCAAAUUUUGUGUGUUUUGUAGGCAAGUGCUCGGCAACCUCGCCUUUCCCUGCUUUUAGCUCUAUUUCACCAGCACAGUUUGAAGCACUGUGCUUAAGACUGUCAUCUUUCCACCGAACGUAUGAAAUUAAAAACAGCUGGAGAAAUUAUCUGGCUCACAAAUGCAACAGUUUUUUUUCUUCCUAAACACGUUAAAUGAAAAUAUAGAUGGUAAAUAUCCAGAGAACUAUGCAGAGAAAUUUCAUAAUUUUUCUCACUAAAAUUGUGAAUGAAUAAAUUUUCAUCAGGGACAUUACUAUUACAAGAGGACUUUAAAAAGCAUCUGUAUAGCCUGGUCACCUUUAGCACUGAAAGACAGAAAUAACUGCCAGGAUAGGUAUUAUUACCCUUUUACUAUUUUACCCCCUUUCAAUGUCUUUGCAGUAGUAACAAAAACAAGCACUGGAUUUCGGAAUCUGAGGAACGUGUUGUAGUUCCUAAUGGGAAAGGAAAGGGAAAUCCUAGAUGGAAUUUUUUUUAAUGUCAGCAUCUCCUCGAUGUUUAAACGAUCUUGAAAUAAACUAUCUGAAUAAAACACACACGGAUACCUAAUGCUAGUUCAUAUUUAGGACUCCUGGAGGACAGCAAAGCCUUUAAGGUUCAUGAAUUUACUUAUAAGAUUAGAUAGAUCAACAAUACCAAUGGCAGUCCUAUCUUAUUUUGGAGGGUAAACCGGCCUUUGAAAGAUCUGAGAUUUAAAUUAGGACAGAAAAUAAGGUUUCUCUAUAAAGUUGACCUAAAAGAUGGAUUUUUAUACGGAAGCACAAUAUAUUUGUUUUCAGUUACAUGACUGUUGUGUUCUCAAAUAGUCUGUGCACAUUUUUUUUCUAAAAGCCUUUUCUAGUUAUUUCUUGGUGAAUAAACAGAUUAAAACUCUGCUUUUGUUUUUGCACAUGGCCAAAUCCCUGAAACUUCAUAGAUAUAAUAUUGAAACCAUAUGAAAACUGUCACCAAAAAGAGGAAACUGUUUAGAAAGAACACCACCAAACAAAUGGAAAAAACAAAACAAAACAAAACAAAAAUACUACCUGGACAGGAAGAAUUUACUGCAAACAUUACUCAAAGCUUGAAGUAUCACUCAAUACCUUGAUUCUCCCCUAAAGCAGCCUACAUAUUUUUAAUUUUUCUGUAGUUACAGUUAUACAUUCAUAAUAUGACCAUAUCAUAAAAGAUAAUUUUAAGAUUUGUUCCAGAUUUUUGAGUUAAUUAUUUGUAGGUACUGUGAGUUUCCUGAAUUUCUGCUCUCUAAAGUAAAGUUGGAUAAGGUAGAAUCAAAUAACAGGACCACAGAAAAAACACAAGUACCCACAUAUGUGAGCUCAGCCUGGAUUAUGUAUGAAAGAGGCAAUUUUAAGAUAAACAUGACUUAUUUUUCCAUAUUAGUUUCAGAAUGUGGUAUAAUUUAGUGUCAGUAAUAUCUAACAUUUCUUGAGAUCUUACACAAAUACUUGGAAUAAUGUUAAAAUAAGUUAUUCAUAAUCUCAUUUGGUUAUACAAAAAGCUAAUGAUAUAUAUAGGUAUUAUUAUCCACAUUUAAUGGAUGCAGAAAAGUGUGAUUUAUUUGGCAUAUCUCUAAAUAAUGAAUAGGAAAGUUUAAGAGACAAAGACUCAAACUACCUUCAUAUCCAAAGGAUAAAUAAAUGGAUACAUGCAUUCAUUACUUAAAAUCACAUAUAUACCAAGGAUCAAACACUGAGACGUUAACAUGAACAUGGCUCAUCACCAUACUGAAAACAUUCACUUUAUGAGCUGCAAACACUGCAGAAUGAAACAAUCAGAAUAUCAGGGAAUUUGUCAUAACAGGCACAUAGGUACCAGAUAUCAAGAUCACCUAGAAAACAAGCACCUAAACCUGUACAAAAACACAGAAAGGGCGUCCGCCGGCUAGUGAUCAGGAUCUAGCCAUUAAUCCUCUAUUUCCAUAAUCACUAAGCAUCCAAGCAAUUAUAAUAUGGCUUUUCACCUGGACUUCCAGUAGCGAUUAGACGCGUGAUCCAGAAGACUCAAGCUCUUCAGAGCAUCUUUCAUAAUUUAAAUUUUGGAAUAUAUUUACUUUAGGUGAACAGGAUCAUUUUUAUUUUAUCACUGAUCUCCCACAGCCAACAGGGUUCUGGGCACACAGUGUGACUUGCUAAAUAUCUGCUCAAUGAUUCUUAUGGCCUAUGCAGCCUGUCUCCUUAAGGACCAUCCCAUCCUAGGCACUAUUCUAUGCAGCCAAAACUCUCAAUACUUUUCAAAUAAACAGCACUCAGUAUAAUGACUACAUGGUGCGAUUCUGCAAAAGUAAAAGGGUAACACCGCAUACAGGGAUCUUCUCCUCAGUUUACUGUAAUGACCAGCACAUCAGUAAGAGGCAGGGCCAGACAAAGGAAAGGGGACUCCGUGAUGUUUUGGUACAUCGCACACUCUCCCAAGAGGGCAGAGACCAUGCCACUGUCACUUCUGCACCCAGUAACCUGCCCAGUGUUUGGCACAUAGUAGACAAUCAAAUAUUUGCUGAAGAAUGAAGGACAAUAAAUACAGGAAAUGGCUUAUAUAUUUUACAGAGAGUGCAUCAAAAACUAUAAAAAUACUGAGGAAGAUCCUGAAAGGCAGAAGAAUUAUUUAAAAUCACUACCGCUUGUCACAUAAAAGCUACAGCCAUACUGCUAUACAGAGUCACUGACAGACAGAAACUCUGCACACAUUCAUCUAUGCCUCACCUCCUUGAGGCUGACGCCAAGUAUAAAGAAGGAGAAAAGGAACAAUUGUUUCAAGACUCAGUGAACUUCAUGAGUAAGGUUUUGGCUAGAAAACUGCUAUCCUUGUAAACAUUGCAUGAUUUCCAAGGAACAUGACAAAAUUUCUAUCAAUAAUGCCAUAAGAUAAAUAUUUGGCUUAAUUCAAGAAUAGUUCAGAUCAUUCUUUUAUUUAAACCAUUUCCCCAUAUAAAUAAAGAAUGGAAACAGCCUGGACACUCUUCAAAAGACUCUGAAGAACUCAACGACCCAUAUAACAACAUUAUUUAACAAAAUUUCUCCCAGACUAUAGCAGAAUAUUUUUCAUUUUUUUCCAUUAGUGCAAUUUACGUGUAAUACAAAUACUGCUCAUUUUAAAAAAGUUUCAUAACCCUUUAGUAAUCAAAAGUUAUUGUUAAACAGCAUUACCAGCAUAAUGCUUUGUAGAAGCAAAGGUUAAACAUCCAAAAGCUGAAAGUUAUCACAUACCAUGUCAACAGCAUUUUUUAUAAUAUCUGUGCUUUAACAUAUAAAUACACAGCAUGUACUUUGCUUGAAAGGGUACAAGUACAUUAAUUAUAGGAAGUCUAAAUUCCCUUUCUCCUGAACAAAAGGUGUUUAUAAUUCCUAUCAAAUGAAGUAUGUCAGUUACAGCCCAGUACACAGUGUAGAAAAAUACUACCAAACACAACUGAAAUCAUUUUCAUGUCUUUCGUUUUCUACAGAAAUCCCACUCUUACAAUAAAACAAGAGAAUAGACAAAAAUGUGCAUCAUGUUGAAAGGGUUGUUUGUGGGCAUUGUCAAUGCUUUUUUCAAUGCAAACAUCUGUCUAGCAGAAAAUUGAGUUGGGUUUCAGUUCCAUUUAAAUACACAGAGCACAUGGUUUAUGGCAAUUGUUGGCACAGGGUAAAAAUCACAGUUCUUCCAAGUGAGCUCUUCUUAAAUUUCUACUCACAGAAAACCUCAGCAGUACAGUUGUUUCCAGACAAGGCUAGGGUUGGCUCUCCUGAAUCAGGAAAGCCCCUUUUCCUUAAUUACCUCCCACAAAUCAGAUAAUGGUCACGAAUUAUUUUGCAUUCCCUGAGAGUGUUUGCUAUGUAAAUUGCUACAUUUUUACAGAGAACUUUCCAAAACUGGGUAUCCAUGGCUGAUAUGACUGUCAGCAUUUCAGAUCUUACAUAUAAUGUCAUAACUUCCGUACGAAUGAUGCAUAAUAACAAUUACUGAUUUUAAAAAGAAAAUAAAUAAAGCCACUCUCUUUGUUCUCAAUUCAUUGCCUCAUGUUUUCUUAGCCAUGUUUCUUUCUUACAACUAGCACUGAUUUAAGUGUAAUCUACCUUGAAUUAUAGGAUUUAACAGAUCUGAAACGGAUAUGGCUGCAUUCACAUAUGAGAGAGACUUAAAUAUAAAACAGAAAUUCAACAAGAUUUUAAUUACCCAGAAUUUGCAGUAGACUCAAAUUUCUUCCUUAUGCUAACACAGAGCAAAAUAACUACUGUCAAAAUGAGCUAAUUGCACGAAUUAGACUGGAGGAAAAGAAGGCACAUAUUCAUAAUAUAUCCUAUAGUCAUGACAUACAGUAAAUAAGUUUCAAGUUUAUACUCUAACAAUGCACUCCCACAAGUACUGAAGAGAAUUUGACUAGUGUCCAAAUUUCGCAAAUGGAAGAUGUGAGCUUCAGAGACAUUAAGUGACUGUCCCUCGUCCCCGGCUCAUCGCGAAUCCACUGGAUCUGGAUCUGGACCAUCAUCCUCUCGCAUCAGCAACAUGAUCGAGAAACAAAUUUAUCUCUAAAUCAGACUCAGACCAUACUGCUGAGCUCACAAAAAAACCAGAAUACUGUAAUACUAUCACAGUGGUUCACAGACCACUUUUCAGUCUAGUAGAGGAGUUAAAAGACAAAAGUAUAAAAGAUAGUAUAACAUAAAAUCAUGUUAAUAACUAAACAAUAUACAAAGAUGUAACAUGUGACAUCAAUACCAUAUAGUGCACGUGGCGUGAGGAGUAAAAGAACAGAGCUUUUCGUGUGACUUAAGUUACUAUUGAAAAAGACUGUUAAAACUAUGCUUUAUGGAAGCCCCACGGAAACUGCAAAGAAAAUAUUUAUAGGAGAUACACGAAAGAGAAAAACCAUAUCUCUUUAACAAGUGAACAAAUCCAAAGAAACACAGCAAGAGAAGAAAAAAAUGGAUAAAAGAAUUACAAGAUAGAAAACUAUUCACAAAAUGGCAAUAGCAAAUUCAUAACUAUCAUUAAUUACUUUAAAUGUAAAUGAUUAAACUUUCAAAUCAAAAGGCACAGAAUGGCUGAAUCGAUUUUAAAAAUCCAAUUAUCUACUGUCUACAGGAGAUCCAGAUUUAAGGACACAUACAUGCUAAAAGUGAAAGAAUGGGAAAACAUAACCCAUGCAAAUGAUAACCAAAAUGGAGUAGUGAUAUCC
rnacentral:lncRNA from 1 species